AAAGACUUGACGGUACUUCACAACAACCUAGAGGAGCCUGUCUAAUAACCGAUACUCCACGAUUAACCCAACCCCCCCUAGCCUAACAGUCUAUAUACCGCCGUCGCCAGCUUACCUUGUGAAAGAAACAAAGUGAGCUCAAUAGACACCCCAAACACGACAGGUCGAGGUGUAACUAAUGGGGGGGAUAGGAUGGGCUACAUUUUCUAAUAUAGAAAAUACGAAUAGACUAUGAAACUAGAAACUGAAGGCGGAUUUAGCAGUAUGAUAAGGACAAAAUACUUA
rnacentral:rRNA from 1 species